UACGUAGGGUGCAAGCGUUGUCCGGAAUUAUUGGGCGUAAAGAGCUUGUAGGCGGUUUGUCGCGUCUGCUGUGAAAUUUCGGGGCUCAACCCCGAACUUGCAGUGGGUACGGGCAGGCUAGAGUGUGGUAGGGGAGACUGGAAUUCCUGGUGUAGCGGUGAAAUGCGCAGAUAUCAGGAGGAACACCGAUGGCGAAGGCAGGUCUCUGGGCCACUACUGACGCUGAGAAGCGAAAGCAUGGGGAGCGAACGGG
rnacentral:rRNA from 1 species